CGGGCCCAGUGCCUCCCUGGUGAUCUCUUGUCUCAGGCCAGGCCAGGGCUGGCUGUGAGGGGCUGAGCAGCACAGCGGAAGGGUGUGGACCCCAGCUCCCAGCCCACCUCUGCACGCCCAGAUGCCCUUGGGCUAGUGUCCCUCACAGUGGUGGUGAGGAGGAACCUAGCCAUCCUAAAAGGCCUGGCGUAGUGCUCAUGCUUCGCUGCUGAGGAAGAACCCGGCUUCCACAUCUCACCCCUGCCAGCAAGGUGCUCCCCAAGUUACCUGUCGGCUGGGGUAUCAGAACAUCCUCCUUUCUUUGUCCUCCGAGGAGAGAUUAGCAGAAGGCUGAGAGCAGCUCGCCAGCCAGGGCUCCCCGGCCGCUCUGAUCAAACACCACUCUGCCGCCUCUUCUUGACUGGUUCCCCCAGCGCAGGCCAGAAACAGCUGAUCAAACACAUCAGGACAAGGUUGAAACCUCUGUGCUCCACACAGGGUCCAGACCAAAGCCAGCAUUUGCAGAGAGGCCAGGGCUGCUGCUGCCUGUGAGGCCAGGGAAAUGAAGCGAAAUGUGCAUGCACGCAUGACUGUGUGGGGGUGAGAGAGAUGUCAGCAAUGCUCUGAGACUGGAGGGGCACGAAUUAUUUGGCAAAUGAAGAACUCGAGGUUCCAGGAGGCCACGUUGCUCCAUCUCAAAGAGCUCCACCUCCAUCGUGACUGAUCCUGAUAAUUAUGACGAUCCUGUUAUCCUGUUUACAUAUGAGUACACUGAAGCUCAAAAGGGUUGAGAAACUUGUCCAAGCUAGGUGGGCUUUUGCUGGAGGAGUCACGGUGGUGUAAAUACAAAAUGCCCCGUUCUUGCUCCUGUUCCUCUCCAGCUCCAGAGCAGAGCUAACCUGAAAUUAGCAGGUACCACAGGGCAGCCGGCACGCCCUCUCCCUCCCGGCUUUUGAGAAGACACCAUCACAGGAAGCAUGCUGCCUGGGCUCCAGUGGCUGUCUGCGUGGAGGGCUGGCCAGCUGGCAUGUUCUUGGGGCAGGCUCACCUUUGGAUAUUUGUGGCUUUCUGACAUUGCAGGAGAAGGCACUUACCUCAAUUAAACACAUUUUUAAAAAAGCCUACUAUAAUCUUAAA
rnacentral:lncRNA from 1 species